UACAGAGGCCCCAAGCGUUACUGAGAAUCACUGGGUUUAAAGGGUGCGUAGGUGGCGCGUUAAGUCCGUUGUGAAAUCCCUGGGCUCAACCCAGGAACUGCUUCGGAUACUGGCGUGCUUGAGGCUAGUAGGGGUCACUGGAACUGACGGUGGAGCGGUGAAAUGCGUAGAUAUCGUCAGGAACGCCGAUGGUGAAGACAGGUGACUGGGCUAGAUCUGACACUGAGGCACGAAAGCGUGGGGAGCGAACGGG
rnacentral:rRNA from 2 species